GACGAACGCUGGCGGCAGGCCUAACACAUGCAAGUCGAACGGUAACAGGAAACAGCUUGCUGUUUCGCUGACGAGUGGCGGACGGGUGAGUAAUGUCUGGGAAACUGCCUGAUGGAGGGGGUUAACUACUGGAAACGGUAGCUAAUACCGCAUAACGUCGCAAGACCAAAGAGGGGGACCCUCGGGCCUCUUGCCAUCGGAUGUGCCCAGAUGGGAUUAGCUUGUUGGUGGGGUAACGGCUCACCAAGGCGACGAUCCCUAGCUGGUCUGAGAGGAUGACCAGCCACACUGGAACUGAGACACGGUCCAGACUCCUACGGGAGGCAGCAGUGGGGAAUAUUGCACAAUGGGCGCAAGCCUGAUGCAGCCAUGCCGCGUGUAUGAAGAAGGCCUUCGGGUUGUAAAGUACUUUCAGCGGGGAGGAAGGGAGUAAAGUUAAUACCUUUGCUCAUUGACGUUACCCGCAGAAGAAGCACCGGCUAACUCCGUG
rnacentral:rRNA from 1 species